rnacentral:rRNA from 2 species
GGCGAGUGAAGCGGCAACAGCUCAAAUUUGAAAUCUGGUCACCUUACGGAGGCCCGAGUUGUAAUUUGAAGAGGAUGCUUUUGGCGAGGUGCCUUCCGAGUGCCCUGGAACGGGACGCCACAGAGGGUGAGAGCCCCGUAUGGUUGGACACCGAGCCUAUGUAAAGCUCCUUCGACGAGUCGAGUAGUUUGGGAAUGCUGCUCAAAAUGGGAGGUAAACCCCUUCUAAAGCUAAAUAUUGGCCAGAGACCGAUAGCGCACAAGUAGAGUGAUCGAAAGAUGAAAAGCACUUUGAAAAGAGAGUUAAACAGCACGUGAAAUUGUUGAAAGGGAAGCGCUUGCGACCAGACUUGCGCCCGUCGGAUCAACCGUCGCUUGUCGGCGGCGCACUCCGGCGGGCUCAGGCCAGCAUCAGUUUUCCCGGGGGGAGAAAGGCGGUGGGAAUGUAGCUCCUAGGAGUGUUAUAGCCCGCCGCGUAAUACCCUCGGGGGGACUGAGGACCGCGCAUC